rnacentral:rRNA from 1 species
AUUGAACGCUGGCGGCAGGCUUAACACAUGCAAGUCGAGCGGAGAUGAGGUGCUUGCACCUUAUCUUAGCGGCGGACGGGUGAGUAAUGCUUAGGAAUCUGCCUAUUAGUGGGGGACAACAUUCCGAAAGGAAUGCUAAUACCGCAUACGUCCUACGGGAGAAAGCAGGGGACCUUCGGGCCUUGCGCUAAUAGAUGAGCCUAAGUCGGAUUAGCUAGUUGGUGGGGUAAAGGCCUACCAAGGCGACGAUCUGUAGCGGGUCUGAGAGGAUGAUCCGCCACACUGGGACUGAGACACGGCCCAGACUCCUACGGGAGGCAGCAGUGGGGAAUAUUGGACAAUGGGCGGAAGCCUGAUCCAGCCAUGCCGCGUGUGUGAAGAAGGCCUUUUGGUUGUAAAGCACUUUAAGCGAGGAGGAGGCUACUAGUACUAAUACUACUGGAUAGUGGACGUUACUCGCAGAAUAAGCACCGGCUAACUCUGUGCCAGCCGCCGCCGUAACAC